GGCCCAAUUUUGAAGUAAAGUAGAUUAGUAAGAUUAGCUGAUACUACUGUUCCACUCUACUUCAAAUUUGGGCCC
rfam:Haemonchus contortus, ISE/inbred ISE, WGS project CAVP01000000 data, contig: Hcontortus_35566